rnacentral:rRNA from 1 species
CACGUAGGGUGCGAGCGUUGUCCGGAAUUAUUGGGCGUAAAGAGCUCGUAGGUGGUUUGUCGCGUUGUUCGUGAAAACUCACAGCUCAACUGUGGGCGUGCGGGCGAUACGGGCAGACUGGAGUACUGCAGGGGAGACUGGAAUUCCUGGUGUAGCGGUGAAAUGCGUUGAUAUCAGGAGGAACACCCAUGGCGAAGGCAGCAAACUGGUCAUCAACUGACGCUGAGGCGCGAAAGCGUGGGUAGCAAACAGG